rnacentral:rRNA from 1 species
AUGGCGACCACCGCCAACCCCACCACCGACCUCUUCUCGCGCCUCUCCUUUCGCCGCGCCGUCUCCCCCUCCCCACUCCGCCUCCCCUCCCUGCUGACCCCUUCGCCGCGCGUCUCCGUCGCCAUCGUCGCCCUCCACAAGCGCAACCCCAAGCGCCUCAAGUACGACUCCCAGCGCCAGUUCACGAGAGGGGAUGGCGGGAUGCUGCGGGUGCAGGUGGAACCCUCCGGCGAGGACUUCUGGAAGCUGGACCCCGUCGUCGACCUCAUCAACAGCGGCGCCGUCGGCGUCAUCCCAACCGACACCGUCUACUCCAUCGUUUGUGAUCUGAGUAACAAUGACUCUAUUGAGCGCCUCCGCAGAAUCAAAGGCAUUGUAAAUUCAAAGCCUCUCAGCAUCUUGUGCCGCUCGUUGCGAGAUAUUGAUACCUACACAACAGGAUUUCCUCUAGGUACCAACCAAGGGCAAGCUAACAUUUUCCGUGCUGUCAAACGUAUAUUACCGGGACCUUACACCUUUAUUUUACCUGCGACUAAGGAAUUGCCCAAGCAAUGCAUCAAGCAUGGGUCAUCUACUAGGUAUGCGAAAAGGAGGCAGGUUGGUGUUCGAAUGCCAGAUGAUCCCAUAUGUCAAGCAAUACUGCAAAAUCUGGAAGAACCGUUGAUCUGCACAAGUGUCAAAUAUCUGGCAGAGGAUGAAUGGAUACUUGACCCAGUAACCAUUGCCGAUAUUUAUGAGCCACUGGGACUCGAUUUCAUCGUUGAUGGUGGUGCUAGAAUUGCUGAUCCAUCUACUGUCGUUGACAUGACUGGAAGUUAUCCUACCAUUAUUUGCCAGGGAAAGGGUGCAAAGCUUGAUUGGAUGGUAACAGGCACGGACCAAGAGGCGCAGUCAACCUAUUCUCGUAAAGCAGCUUGA